rnacentral:lncRNA from 1 species
UACUACUAAACAUUACAUUGGAAAUCAAGAAAAACUUAUUACUUUUCACUCUCUUCACCCAGUGACAUAGGUGUGGAGUUAGAUCUUGAAAAUGACAAUAUAGGAAAUGAUUUCAAGUUUUUCUGGUGCGAAAUCAAUGGUUGAGGAAGCUUGUUUGCAUACCUUGUAGCACACCCAUUUCCAUCUCGUGUGGAUUGUUGAGGAAAAUAUAGAUGAAAAUUCUGUCCAAAAUUCUCUGCUGAUCCAUGAUUUUCUUGAGCAUUACCGCCUGAAUUUCCAAUGAAUGAUGUGAUGGCUGCUGCUAAUGCUGAUUGAAAAGUUGGGUCACGGGCAAUUGCCUUAGUUGCAGCAGCUAUUUUAUCAGUCACAUGCAUAUU